rnacentral:SRP_RNA from 1 species
UGUGCUAUGCUGAUUGGGUGUCCACACUAAGUUCAGCAUUACUAUGGUGACCUCCUGAGAGCGGGGGACCACUAGGUUGCCUCAGGAGGGGCGAACCAAUCCAGGUUAGCAAUGAAUCAGGUCAAAACUCCCUUACUGAUCACAGUGGAAUCAAGCCUGUGAAAAACCA